rnacentral:rRNA from 1 species
GCCCAAGAGAUCGGGAUAACACCUGGAAACAGAUGCUAAUACCGGAUAACAACAGAUGAUGCCUAUCAACUGUUUAAAAGAUGGUUCUGCUAUCACUCUUGGAUGGACCUGCGGUGCAUUAGCUAGUUGGUAGGGUAACGGCCUACCAAGGCGAUGAUGCAUAGCCGAGUUGAGAGACUGAUCGGCCACAUUGGGACUGAGACACGGCCCAAACUCCUACGGGAGGCAGCAGCCA